rnacentral:tRNA from 1 species
GGGGUUGUGACUCAGUGGUAGAGGUCUUAUCUCACAUGCAGGGGGUACUAGGUUCAAACCUCAGCACCACA